UGUUGGUGGGGUAACGGCUCACCAAGGCGACGAUCCCUAGCUGGUCUGAGAGGAUGACCAGCCACACUGGAACUGAGACACGGUCCAGACUCCUACGGGAGGCAGCAGUGGGGAAUAUUGCACAAUGGGCGCAAGCCUGAUGCAGCCAUGCCGCGUGUAUGAAGAAGGCCUUCGGGUUGUAAAGUACUUUCAGCGGGGAGGAAGGGAGUAAAGUUAAUACCUUUGCUCAUUGACGUUACCCGCAGAAGAAGCACCGGCUAACUCCGUGCCAGCAGCCGCGGUAAUACGGAGGGUGCAAGCGUUAAUCGGAAUUACUGGGCGUAAAGCGCACGCAGGCGGUUUGUUAAGUCAGAUGUGAAAUCCCCGGGCUCAACCCGGGAACUGCAUCUGAUACUGGCAAGCUUGAGUCUCGUAGAGGGGGGUAGAAUUCCAGGUGUAGCGGUGAAAUGCGUAGAGAUCUGGAGGAAUACCGGUGGCGAAGGCGGCCCCCUGGACGAAGACUGACGCUCAGGUGCGAAAGCGUGGGGAGCAAACAGGAUUAGAUACCCUGGUAGUCCACGCCGUAAACGAUGUCGACUUGGAGGUUGUGCCCUUGAGGCGUGGCUUCCGGAGCUAACGCGUUAAGUCGACCGCCUGGGGAGUACGGCCGCAAGGUUAAAACUCAAAUGAAUUGACGGGGGCCCGCACAAGCGGUGGAGCAUGUGGUUUAAUUCGAUGCAACGCGAAGAACCUUACCUGGUCUUGACAUCCACGGAAGUUUUCAGAGAUGAGAAUGUGCCUUCGGGAACCGUGAGACAGGUGCUGCAUGGCUGUCGUCAGCUCGUGUUGUGAAAUGUUGGGUUAAGUCCCGCAACGAGCGCAACCCUUAUCCUUUGUUGCCAGCGGUCCGGCCGGGAACUCAAAGGAGACUGCCAGUGAUAAACUGGAGGAAGGUGGGGAUGACGUCAA
rnacentral:rRNA from 1 species